CGACAACAAACGAUUUCAGAUGCUCUCACGAGCUUAAUAGGGAACCCUGUGUAAUUCAGGGACGGGCCCGCCGCUGUAACCGAGGACGAAAGCCGCUUGAUGUCACUGCCGAAAUUCGGUGGGAAGACGUGGCCGGUAGGAUGAUCCGGAAGUCAGAAGACCUGUCUGAAAUUUGGUAAUGCG
rnacentral:ncRNA from 2 species